rnacentral:lncRNA from 1 species
UCAUCAACGUGUGUUCCUGGAUUUUCUGCUGCAAACAUGUGUCUUAUGGUCCAGGACAUGGUGUAUCUUUGUGAACAUCACAUUUAAGCUGGAGAAGAAUGUGCAGUCUGCCGUUUUUGGAUGGAGUAUUUUAGAAAUUUGUCAAUGAGAUCAAGUUGAUUGAUUGAGAGUGCCAUUCAGGGCAACUGUAUCCUGACUGAUUUUCUGUCUGCUUCAUCUAUCAAGUCCUGAAAGAGGUGUGUUGAAGUCUCCAACUACAAGAGUGGAUUUUGUC